rnacentral:rRNA from 1 species
GAUGAACGCUAGCGGCAGGCUUAAUACAUGCAAGUCGAGGGGCAGCACGAGUAGCAAUACUUGGUGGCGACCGGCGCACGGGUGCGUAACGCGUAUGCAAUCUACCUUCAACAGGGGAAUAACUCUGGGAAACCGGAACUAAUACCCCAUAGAAUUAUGAAUCGGCAUCGGUUUAUAAUUAAAGAUUUAUUGGUUGGAGAUGAGCAUGCGUUGGAUUAGAUAGUUGGUGAGGUAACGGCUCACCAAGUCGACGAUCCAUAGGGGAACUGAGAGGUUUAUCCCCCACAUUGGUACUGAGACACGGACCAAACUCCUACGGGAGGCAGCAGUAGGGAAUAUUGGGCAAUGGAAGAGAUUCUGACCCAGCCAUGCCGCGUGCAGGACUACGGCGCUAUGCGUUGUAAACUGCUUUUAUACUGGGGUAACAGUGGGUACGUGUACCCAUUUGAAAGUACAGUAAGAAUAAGCAUCGGCUAACUCCGUGCCAGCAGCCGCGGUAAUACGGAGGAUGCAAGCGUUAUCCGGAUUUAUUGGGUUUAAAGGGUGCGCAGGCGGAAUAGUAAGUCAGUGGUGAAAUCUCUCAGCUUAACUGAGGAACUGCCAUUGAUACUGCUAAUCUGGAGUACAAACGGCGUAGGCGGAAUAUGACAAGUAGCGGUGAAAUGCGUAGAUAUGUCAUAGAACACCGAUAGGGUAGCCAGCUUACGAGGCUGUAACUGACGCUCAAGCACGAAAGCGUGGGUAUCAAACAGGAUUAGAUACCCUGGUAGUCCACGCUGUAAACGAUGAACACUCGUUGUCGGCACGAUGGUGUCGGCGGCUAAGCGAAAGUGAUAAGUGUUCCACCUGGGGAGUACGUUCGCAAGUAUGAAACUCAAAGGAAUUGACGGGGGCCCGCACAAGCGGAGGAGCAUGUGGUUUAAUUCGAUGAUACGCGAGGAACCUUACCUAGACUUGAACGCAGAGAGAAUGUUGGAGAAAUCCAACAGCUGUUAAAGGCUGUCUGCGAGGUGCUGCAUGGUUGUCGUCAGCUCGUGCCGUGAGGUGUUAGGUUAAGUCCUGCAACGAGCGCAACCCUUACUGUUAGUUACCAUCGCGUUAUGGCGGGGACUCUGGCAGAACUGCCCACGCAAGUGCGGAGGAAGGUGGGGAUGACGUCAAAUCAGCACGGCCCUUAUGUCUAGGGCGACACACGUGCUACAAUGGGCGGUACAGAGGGCAGCUACACUGCGAAGUGAUGCUAAUCUCGAAAGCCGUUCUCAGUUCGGAUCGGAGUCUGCAACCCGACUCCGUGAAGUUGGAUUCGCUAGUAAUCGCGUAUCAGCCAUGACGCGGUGAAUACGUUCCCGGGCCUUGUACACACCGCCCGUCAAGCCAUGGAAGUUCGGAGCGCCUAAAGUACGUAACCGUAAGGAGCGUCCUAGGGUGAAACGAGUAACUGGGGCU